AUUGAACGCUGGCGGCAUGCUUUACACAUGCAAGUCGAACGGUAACAGGCCGUAAGGUGCUGACGAGUGGCGAACGGGUGAGUAAUGCAUCGGAACGUGCCCAGUCGUGGGGGAUAACUACUCGAAAGAGUAGCUAAUACCGCAUACGAUCUAUGGAUGAAAGCGGGGGACCGUAAGGCCUCGCGCGAUUGGAGCGGCCGAUGUCAGAUUAGGUAGUUGGUGGGGUAAAGGCUCACCAAGCCAACGAUCUGUAGCUGGUCUGAGAGGACAACCAGCCACACUGGGACUGAGACACGGCCCAGACUCCUACGGGAGGCAGCAGUGGGGAAUUUUGGACAAUGGGCGCAAGCCUGAUCCAGCAAUGCCGCGUGCAGGAAGAAGGCCUUCGGGUUGUAAACUGCUUUUGUACGGAACGAAACGGCUCUGGUUAAUACCCGGGGCUAAUGACGGUACCGUAAGAAUAAGCACCGGCUAACUACGUG
rnacentral:rRNA from 1 species